rnacentral:rRNA from 1 species
UGAGGAAUAUAUGGUCAAUGGACGAGAGUUUGAACCAGCCAAGUAGCGUGCAGGACGACGGCCCUUUGGGUUGUAAACUGCUUUUAGUUGGGAACAAAAAAGGCGACGUGUCGCCUAUGGAGUGUACCAUCAGAAAAAGGACCGGGUAAUUCCGUGCCAGCAGCCGCGGUAAUUCGGAAGGUCCAGGCGUUAUCCGGAUUUAUUGGGUUUAAAGGGAGCGUAGGCGGACGAUUAAGUCAGCUGUGAAAGUUUGCGGCUCAACCGUAAAAUUGCAGUUGAAACUGGUUGUCUUGAGUGCACGCAGGGAUGUUGGAAUUCAUGGUGUAGCGGUGAAAUGCUUAGAUAUCAUGAAGAACUUCGAUCGCGAAGGCAUAUGUCUGGAGUGCAACUGACGGUGAGGCUUGAAAGUGCGGGUAUUGAACAGGAUUAGAUACCCUGGUAGUCCGCACAGUAAACGAUGAAUACUCGCAGUGUGCGAUAUAUUGUAUGCUGCCAAGUGAAAACGUUAAGUAUUCCACCUGGGGAGUACGCCGGCAACGGUG